rnacentral:snRNA from 1 species
CAGGACGGUGGUCAUGGAA